rnacentral:lncRNA from 10 species
GCAAGUUGCUUAAAACCUAAAGCUCCUUUCAAUUCUUUACAAUCCAAGAUUAUAUGGAAUGGACUGGGAACAAAGAGAGGGACUGGCAUUUAAAGUCUUUUAUACACUUUGGAACAAAUGUUAUUCUCCAUUCAUCCUGACACUAAAUUGGUUAGCCAAACCCAAAGAUCUACUAAUAAUCCUGCUUUGGCAUGGGAGAAUGAGUGAGAUAAGGAGGCAAUAGAGGAGAUGAAUCGACAAAUGGAAGGAAUAGAAUUCUGGUUGAUGUCCUUGUCUCUAAGCUGUAGCAGCAAGUAUUUAUCCUAAAUGUUUCAAUUCAUGCCAUCACAUCUUUGAAAACUGGCAAUUCAACCUUGCCUUGAGCAUUUCCAUGUACAGGAAACACAUGAUCUCUUAAGGAGUCCAUUUCACCGUCAGACGGUUCUGAAGGAUGUGAGUGGUUCUCAACAUUGAAACCAGUGCUGGCUCCUGGUUUGAAUUUCUGUAGCCACUCCAGUCUCGUUCUUGUGCUCACCAUUCCUCCAAAUUGGCCGCCUAUGACUUCUAUGACAAUAAAUCCAAUGGACCCUUGCCAAGCUUAUCAUAUUUUCUCAGCAGCAUUUGACCCAGUUGGCAUUCUUGA